CCAUCAAACCGAUGUAUAGGCCUUUUUUGGAAUUCACGGCGAUUACUGCGAAACAAUUUUUAUUUUUUAAAAUAACAAAUUCAGGUAUAACGGAGGGAAUCCGGACUUCCCCUGUAGUGUAUUUAUAUUUUUAUCUUUCCACGUGCUGCGCAUAUUAGGAAUAAAAGUGUGUAGGACGUACAGUCUAGAACAUUCAGCUGGAAGGAGGGAAUCCAAAUGGGAUAGAGUCACGCUACGGGGCAUUACAAAAAGAAGAAGAAAAAAAUGUGAGGAUAGAAAUGCGUCACAGAUCACGUAUAGAAGAGACUGUAGUUACAAAUUUGGCCAGCAUCGUUAGAUCUGCAUAGUCAUGCCGAUUCAGCUGAUCUCAUCAAUAUACUGGACGUUAUUGCGCAGCAUCUAUUUGCUGUAUUUUCUAAACAUUUCUCGAGAAAUGUUAUUUUUAAUAUCAUUCUCACCUAAGUGAAUUUGCAUAAACUUAAAGGCAAGUCUACUGGAAAAUGGACUGUCUUUACGUAUUAGAAGCUCUUCAUACAUAUACACCUCCACUCAUUUAUUUCAAAUUUUAUUCUUCUUGCUCUUUUUGCUUUUAACUGAACAUCGUUUCGUUGGUUGUAUAACGGGUAACCUUCACGUAGCGCUGCGGGAUGUUUGAACGCAGUUCGCACAUACUGUUGUAAGGGUUUCGGUCGUUUCCGCACAUUGAUGGACUCUGCGGAAAAGAGCGAGCUUCGCACGUUCAUGUACGGGUCUCUUUAAAGAAUUAGAUUCGCUUUAACGCACUCUCAUUACAAAGUCAUAAUUCACUUUUUUUGGUUUAAACUCUAUACAUUACUUCUCAUUUGGCAUCAGGAAAAGGAAAGAAAAAAAUGUCCUUGCCAAGUCGAAACAGGAAAUAGCCGGAACGAUGACUGGACAAAUGUCGGAACACCUUAUAGACGCGGAACAUCCUUAUUUCAUUGUUACCAAACAAUAUUUCCAAGGCGAAAUUUUAUUCUUUAGCCCGCACGUGUUUAAGUUCUUGGUCGCUUUUGACAUAAAAUGCGGAAGAAAAAAAAAUAAUUUUUACUUAUCUUUAUCCGAAGGUCAUGUCCGUCCCUCAUUUGCAAAUUACUUGACAGCACUUCUCGUGAUAUAGUCAUCGUGCAAAAUGACCGAUGCGCAGAAAAGAAUGAAAAGCAUCAAACAUGUAAAUCAACAUGUUUUGUUCCAUGCGCCCAUAUAAGCUUGUUAUUUGUGGGGCGUGUCAUUUUUGCGGUGCCAGCCUGUACCAACUGUACAUCAUCCCCCUGGCUUUGUAACUUGAGAAUAAUAUGCUCAUCCGUAUAGCCGUAAAAAAAAAAACAUCUGUAAAAUUUGCAAUUCCCGCCGGGAACGGGGAGAUCCCUUUUGACAAGGUGACUGGGGAACACAACAUUAUUCUAAUCCGAUGCUCAAGGUUGGUGCGAGUUAUUCAACCUUGUCGUCGAGGGUGUUUUCCAUUGCACCUUUUACGCGCUUCCUGAAAGGAACUGAGGAAGAGCCUUUCCUGCGUCGAAUUCGUCGCUUUUGAAAACCAUUAACGAUAUGCGGAAAUAUUCACGCUGUAUAUUCAACGAGCUUUUCUUAUAAUCACCAACUGCCAGUGUGUAUAGAUGUACAUUGCGCAAUCCGCAUAAAGGAAUAAACGCGCCAUUU